rnacentral:lncRNA from 12 species
AUGCGCGCCGGCCGCGCGGCGGGCCCGGUCCUCGGUAACCCGGGCGGCGGGCGGGCGAGCGGGCGGGCGCGGCCUGGAGGUCGGUCCUCGGGGCUCCGGGGACGCCCCCCGGGUGGCCGACCCCCUCCCCGGGGCGCCCCCGCCUGCGGCCCUGGGCUUCCCCGCGCCCCGCCCACAGCGCGCUCCUCCCGCCCUGCGGGGCUCCCGUCCAGGGGGCGCCCCCUCGGCCCGGGAGCGCACCGGGCUGGGCGAACUCGGGCGCCGCGGCGUCGGCAGAGCCAGGUGCCCCGUGGUGGCCGCGUUCCGGGUUCCGGCCGCGGGCGCCCCGAAGCUGCCAGUGCCUGGGGGCACUGCGUACCUCGCCACCCGGCCGCCCAAGCCCCAAGGCUCCGCAGGUCCGCCGCCCUUGGGCCGCGGGGGAGGCAGGCGCGGCGGCAGGCGCAUCCGCAGCCCGCGCGACGCGAGGCGUCAGCACCGGCCCCAAGGGGGACAGGCCCGGCGGGAGGGGCCCACCUGCGGCCCGACGCCGGCUGCGGCACCUCGGGCUGCGGGCGUCUCGACAGCCGCUUCCUCGGGUGCCGACCCCGGCUCCAGACCCGGCUGCGGGGGCCCGGACCAGCUCCGCCACGGGGGACCCCGGCCACACACGGCGGGCCGGCCCCGCUGACCCUCGCCCGGGACCCCGACCUCGCCCCCCAACCCCACCCCCGCCCCGGAACCCCGGCCUCGCCCCGAACCCCAGCCCCGCCGAGGGGCGCGCGGUCCGUCGCUGGCCUCCUGGCCCGGGGUGCUCGGGUCCCGCACCCCGGGGACCAGGAGGAGCGGCCCGCGGGUCUGCGCCCCGGUCACGCCCCGGUCACGCCCCGGUCACGCCGCGCCUCGGCCCGCACCUGCGCCCGCGCCCCUCCCGGCACCUUCGGAGCCCUCGGCCGGGCCGGGGUCGGCGGGGGCGUCUGCCGGGGUGCGCAGGGGGCGCGGGGAGCGGACACCCGGCCGCAGGGUGCGGGACGCCGCCCUCGGGUGCUCGACCCGGUCUCCCGCCCCCGGGACCGCGCGGGCCCCAGAUCCUGCGGCUUCACGGGCGACGCCGACCCCGGCCCCUCGGCUCUGCACCGCGUCGAUUCCUCUGGCUGUGGGCGAGCUGAGCGUCUCCUGGCACCGCGCAGUCCCCCGCUGGGCCCGCCCCGCGCAGCGGGGACUUCGUCGGCCCGUAUUUAA